AAACCAUGCAUCAGACAUUUUCUAAUUAAUUCCUUGAAAUGCUCUCAUGCUUCAUAUAAUGCCUUAUCUUCAGAUUUCCUGAACUAUGUAACGUCAUUCCUAAGCUU
rfam:Gossypium arboreum cultivar AKA8401 contig_36890_1, whole genome shotgun sequence.